UACGUAGGGUGCGAGCGUUGUCCGGAAUUAUUGGGCGUAAAGAGCUUGUAGGCGGUUUGUCGCGUCUGCCGUGAAAAUCCGGGGCUCAACCCCGGACUUGCGGUGGGUACGGGCAAACUAGAGUGUGGUAGGGGAGACUGGAAUUCCUGGUGUAGCGGUGAAAUGCGCAGAUAUCAGGAGGAACACCGAUGGCGAAGGCAGGUCUCUGGGCCACUACUGACGCUGAGAAGCGAAAGCGUGGGGAGCGAACAGG
rnacentral:rRNA from 1 species